rnacentral:lncRNA from 1 species
AAUAUACAGGGAACACCUGGCUGCGAGAAUAAAUACCACCAGUCCAGCUCUUGCGUUUGGCGACGGUUGGUGCCGGCGGCAGGGAGAGCAGGUGGGACGGAGCAGUGCUUCUCGGGCGGGUUUCGGAGCUGCAGCAGCCGGUCCAGGCGGAGCAGAAGCGGGCGCGCGCCCAAGCCCUCAGGGAGUGGAGGCUCCAGUGGGGACCGCGACCCCUUCCCCUUCCCCUUCCCCUUCCCCGCCACGCGCCGCGAUGCUGACGCUGAGGUGCAGCGUGCCGCAGCUGGAGCGCAGCACCCAGGCGCCCCGGUAGGGCAGCCCCGGCCCCGGGGCCCCGGGCAGGCGCAGGCUGAGCUGCCGGCAGCCCCUGGCGUCGCAGGCCACGUGCACACUGCCCUCGGCAUCGCUGUAGGCGCACUGCCCCGGCGCCUCCUCCUCCUCCUCCUCCUCCUCCUCCGGCGCCGGCUCCCCCGGGGCGCCCCGGCACGGCAGCUGCUGCUCCGCUGCCUCCAGGAGGGAGCGUCCCUGGAGGGGAGCCGGCUCGGCGCAGGAGGCCGGCGCGUGGGCCAGGGGGUCGGUGAAGCCCUGCAGCCAGCCCAGGAGGUAGGCGAGGCGGCAGUCGCACACCCAGGGGUUGCCCGCCAGCCCCACGCGCACCAGCUCGCCGUUGGCGUCGAAGAGCCCCGGGGGCAGGCGCGGCAGGCGGUUGUGCUCCAGCGCCAGCGCCGCCAGGCGGGCGAGCCCCGCGAAGAGGCCGGGCGCCAGGCUGGAGAGGUGGUUGUGGCUCAGCCGCAGCGCCGUGAGCCUGGAGAGGCCCCGGAAAGCCCCGGCGGGGAGGUGCGCCAGGCUGUUGUGCGAGAGCGCGAGGGUCUGCACCUCCGAGAGGUUGGCGAAGACGCCCUCGGGCACCGUCUCCAGCCGGUUACGGGCCACCGAGAGGUCGAGGAGCUGCGGGGUGCCCUGGAAGAGGGCGGCAGGCAGGGCGGCGAGGCGGUUGCCCUCCAGGCUGAGGGAGGUGAGGUUGGGGAGGCAGGAGAAGACGGCGGGGUGCAGGCUGCCCAAGGCGUUGUGCUGCAGCUGCAGCCGCCGCAGCCUCCCGAGGCCGGCGAAGGCGCCGCGUGGCAGCUCUGCCAGCCGGUUGCCGUCCAGGUGGAGCUCGCUGAGGUGCCCCAGGCUGCUGAAGUCACCGGGCGGCACCUGGGCCAGCAGGUUGUCGCUCAGUUUCAGGAUGCGGAGGGAGGUGAGGGGGGCGAAGAGCCCCGGCGGCAGCUCAGCCAYGGCGUUCUGGGAGAGGUCCAAGGUGUGGAGGUGCCGGAGCGGGUGGAAGAUCUCAGGGGGAAGCACCUCGAUCUUGUUCCUCCGCAAACGCAGGUCCUGUAG